AAUAUUGGACAAUGGGGGCAACCCUGAUCCAGCCAUGCCGCGUGUGUGAAGAAGGUCUUCGGAUUGUAAAGCACUUUAAGUUGGGAGGAAGGGCUUUAGGUUAAUACCCUGAAGUUUUGACGUUACCAACAGAAUAAGCACCGGCUACCUCUGUGCCAGCAGCCGCUGUAAUACAGAGGGGGCAAGCGGUAAUUGGAAUUAAUGGGCGUAAAGCGGGCGGAAGUGGUUCAGUAAGAUGGGUGUGAAAUCCCCGGGCUUAACCUGGGAACUGCUUUCAUAACUGCUGAGCUAGAGUACGGUAGAGGGUAGUGGAAUUUCCUGUGUAGCGGUGAAAUGCGUAGAUAUAGGAAGGAACACCAGUGGCGAAGGCGACUACCUGGACUGAUACUGACACUGAGGUGCGAAAGCGUGGGGAGCAAAC
rnacentral:rRNA from 1 species